AGCAACCUGAGCCCGCCGCUGCCACCGAAUGCCUCAGGCCUCCGCCAACCCGUCAGGAAGGGAGAAACCACGGGUCCCCAGGAAGCCAAAGUCAAGCCCUAGUGUCAACCUGCAUAUCCAUGCCUGCAUGCCCUUCUCUUGGCCAAGGAAAAAGGGAAGAAAGGAAAAGAAGAAGAAGAAGCCCAGAGGCCUAUAUCCCCUGAUUAAACACAGCCCAGCACUCCAGGCAGGCAUGCCCGGUGUGGCUCCUUGCACCAUUGACCUCAGGCCAGACACCUCUACACCGACAAUGGGAUCUAGGCCUCCGGCCAGGUUUGCCCAGGGCUGGGCAGGAAACCAGCCCC